CACGUAGGGGCAGCAGUCGUUCGGUUCGAUUGUGGCGUAAAGCGCGUGUAGGCGGCCAUGUAGGUCCGGUGUGAAAACUCGAGGCUUAACCUCGAGAUGUCAUCGGAAACCAUUUGGCUAGAGUCCGGAAGAGGAGAGUGGAAUUCCUGGUGUAGCGGUGAAAUGCGCAGAUAUCAGGAAGAACACCAAUGGCGAAAGCAGCUCUCUGGGACGGUACUGACGCUGAGACGCGAAAGCGUGGGGAGCGAACAGG
rnacentral:rRNA from 1 species